rnacentral:misc_RNA from 1 species
GCGGGAUUCCAGGUGGGUGUGAAUUCACUACGUUCUCCUUCUGCAGCCUCAAUCAGUUUCAUCAGAGUCGUCGUCAAAAAUAUACAAGUAUGGGACUAUUGGUGUGUGUUCACUAUGUUCUACAUCUGCACCCUCACCAGUCAAUCUAGGAGUGUUCCAACCCAACUGCUGCAUGUAUACUUCAUCAUAGGCUUCAAUGUUUAAACCUGAAGCAAGAAACAAUUCCAACUCAUUCACGAAUCGUUCUGUUCUUGCUGCUAGAAAAGGCCUUGCUGCAUCAGAGACUAGAUUCUUGAACUCUCC